AUUGAACGCUGGCGGCAGGCCUCACACAUGCAAGUCGAACGAGUGGCGGACGGGUGAGUAAUGUCUGGGGAUCUGCCUGAUAGCGGGGGAUAACUACUGGAAACGGUAGCUAAUACCGCAUACACUCGGAUGAGCCCAUAUGGGAUUAGCUCAUAGGUGGGGUAAAGGCUCACCUAGGCGACGAUCCAUAGCUGGUCUGAGAGGAUGACCAGCCACACUGGAACGGAGACACGCGCCUGACUCCUACGGGAGGCAGCAGUGGGGAAUAUGUCACAAUGGGCGCAAGCCUGAUGAAGACAUGCCGCGGGUAUGAAGUAGGCCUUGGGGUUGUAAAGUACUUUCAGCGGGGAGGCGUUACCCGCAGAAGAAGCACCGGCUAACUCCGUGCCAGCAGCCGCGGUAAUAC
rnacentral:rRNA from 1 species